GGUUUUAUGGUGUAAUGGUUAGCACUUCUGACUCUGACUCUGACAAUCUGAGUUCAAAUCUCAGUAGGACCU
rnacentral:tRNA from 1 species